AUUUGAUGAUUGCUGAGAUAAAAGACUUGAUUUUUCUGCACCAUCAUACUAAUUACUUCUUGUCCUGCAGCUUUCAGGUGCUGACUCUUAGACCGGACCGGAUCAAACCAGAACCACUGAGACUCUGUCGGAACGCCCCCUUGGAUCUUGGAUCAAACCAGCUGGCGAACCCUCUGGAGAGACCUCCCUGCCUAGCGAACCCUGUCCACCCUCCCAGCGCCAUCCGUUCUGUGCCACCAUUCCAGCCGCUGUGGACUGUAGGCAGGCUGUGUCACACAUACUCCAGACUCUGCGCCCCUCCCUGGCGGAUCGCCCCGUUCUCACCAGUGGAAACUGAAGGACAAUGCCAACAACUCACCACCUUUAACUACAACUAACCUUACUGAAAUACCAGCCUACCUGCAUCGCACACCUUUCUGCAUUCAAUGUGGAAAGCCUCCAAGGAGACAGGGAGAAACAGUUGGUCUUAUGGCCUAAAUUAAGGGUCUCCAGAGGUCCACCUGCACCUGCAGCACCUUUCCACAGGUGCGGGUAGGUCAAGCGCUGCGUGGAGCUCGCCAACCUUAAAUCACUGAGUUGGACCUCAUCAACGGCCAAGGUGGAGGUGAUCAUCAACUCGGCCCUUGGUAAUGUUGAUCUCUGGCAAGCAAGACCUUUAUUUUGAAUAACUUUUUUACUUCAUGAGAGUUGCAGCACUGUCAUUAGCUGUCUAAUCUCUGUCUCUAUCUACGGUUGCUCACAAGGAACCCACAAGCAAAAAGGUACUAAAAUACUUCUAUGUAAACGUUACUAAUGAAAAAGCCUAAAUAAUGAGCAGAGCCAUACCAAACCGCGCUGAGUAGGGACUAGUGGGAAAGGGGCAUUAGUUACACCGUCUGCCUCUGACAGACGAGCAAAUCCCUGUGGCUCCUAAAACAGUAACGUACUGUUCCUCUUGGUGUUGUCUGGGAAGAUCUAAAAAACAGUCAUCCAAACCCAGUUUCUCACUUAAGCAGCAGCCAGAUAGCAGCUUUCCACCGUCUAAGGGCUGAAACUGACACUGAUACACUGUACAGUAGCUGUGUGUUGAGACAUUGGAUAUGUACCAUUACAUGCUUGAUCUACCUCUUACCAUGAUGAUAUUUAGCAUCUCAGAAAAAUAUCCUUUACCAGUAAAGUUCCUUUCAACUUUAUGAGGAGAUUACACUACGUUGAUCUUUGUGAUUUAUUCACUUUGUUUCAUGCCUAUGGCUUUUAAGACUACAUUAUUGGCUGUCCAAAAUAAUUAUUGAUAUAAAAAAUCUUAUCCUAAGAAAUCUGAUCACCUUUAAUAAUCAUGUUCAUACUGAAGUAGAGACUGUACAGGCUGUUGUACCUUCCUGUCUGUCUGUGGCAAGUGACCUGCUCAGUACACUUUGCUCAGAUUAUAUGGCUACAAUAUUUCCAGCUGUCCAGGGAACAGAGUGCACCUUAAACACUGCUCUACAAACUUUUGGUUGUUUAAGGCAAAGAGUUUUUGAGUGUUUUAAGCAGAAGCACAGAGUUGUGUUAAUACAUAAGUAACUAAAACAGAAGUGAAAUAUGUUUUAGAGCCAAAUUAUCAAAAGGUCAUAUAAAGAGUAAGCAUAAACAUGCCAAGGUUAGCCUCAUACUUCAGCAAGCAAUAUAAGCAUUGUCAGCAGGAACAAGAUGUGAGAUUAUUGAAGACCAGAUAAUGCAUUAACUGAAUCCUGAUGAGAAAGUGAAAUGGAAAAAGAUCACAUUCUAAUGUAGACAAUCUAAGGCCUUGUCUUUAUUAUAUAUGUCUAUAUUAACAUGAACAUUUAACAGAACAGUUUCUGCUGCGCCUGCACACCUCCCAUUCACAUAGAAAUGGGGGUUUUGGUAAUAUUUUUAAAAACAUUAUGUUGUAUAUGUCUGGAAAGGUUGUCAAGAUAAUUAAAAACAAUGACUGAG